GGCACAGUGAGUACCAAAAGCUAAUGCAGGAAAGAAAUCCAGAGCACAGACCUGGAGGGACUUCAGACUAACUGAACUACCCCUUGAAGCUUCCAUGUUUGUCAUCCCCAAAUCUGCUACUGUCUGUGGAUCCAAGCUGGGGAAGCCCAAAGCAGCAAAUCCAGCCAUGGUGGAGUCAGGUCUCCCAAGCAGAUGACUCUGCUCAGCAGGACAGAGUUGAUGGCCCUCACCACCGGCAGAAAGAGAGACACAACAAAUUCAGAGGGGGUG